AUUACACUCUGUACCUGAUCUACCUCCCAUGAAAACAGGAUACCUCAUAAGCAUUUUUGUUCUCAGUUUUACCUACUCCUCUUUCUCCACUCACCAGGAUUGACUGACUUCCAUGUUUGUAAAUCAUGGCUCUGAUGCGUCAAAGGUUUUCAAACGGGUCAGGUCAGCUAAAAACACCUCUAUUUUUUAACGAAUAGUCAACUUUGCAUGACAAUACUUGUAAGAAUCGUCUGCAAUGGUGAAAAGAUGUAGGUUUAACCCUCCAAAAGUGGCACCUUCAUAUUGUUGCAUCAUGUGAAUACCAUCCAUAUGUGACAACAAUGUUCCGUGUGUUAUCAUACAUAACAUUUUGAUCAGUUUUAAUCAUUAUAAUAUUGUAAUAAAAAGAACCCGCAACAGAUGUCCAUGCUGCGACUCCAAUUGCAUAUGAUGCAACAGGACAUCCACCAUGGAAAAUAUAUAUUUGCAAACAAAUAAAAAAGGCUAUAUUUUCUACUCAUUAGAUGUUAUUUUUAAACUAAUAAAUAUCUCAUAUAACUUGGGAGUUGUGUGAAAAUUGAAAAAUAUAAAUAAUUCACUAUUUGUUUUUUUAGCAGAUUAUAGAUUAUAUAGGACUUCUUUGAUGAAUUAGCUACAGAAUUGUUUAAGUGACAUGAUAUAAAGAUAAGGAUGAUGAUAAUAAGAUACUAAUCUAAUGGUGGUGAUAGUGAUACUAAUCUUGCUGAAGUUUUUCUAUGAUUGAAUUUGUAUUGUUUAAAAAAAAAAACUUUAAUUAUAGGAAAUAGAUUCGAGUCCAAGCUAGCAGCAAAUGCCUAUAAACAUGAAGAUAAACACUAUACAUUUGAAGGUCUUUUCUUCCAAAUUUGACGGUUCCACCAGUAGCACACGUGUUUAGUGAGAUGCUGGCAUCGAACUCUUUCUUCUUGUCAUGAGACAUUUUGAUAUGGAAGAGUAACCAAAAACAUACAACAAUUAAUAAACAAAGUUGCACAACAUGUUUGGUCUUGAUUCCUUUGGACCUCUGGUUUCCGACAGAUAAAUCAUAUUGUUUUCCAGAAUUAUAGAUGCAUUUUGACUUGUGCAGUCAAAUUGGCUUUGUAACAAUACAAAAAUUGUGUCUGAUUUAAGGUUUGUUUUCAAAGAUAUUAAACAUGAGUCUCGGCUAUUAUAAUGAAUGUCCAGAUAGUUGAAGAAAUUUUGUCAACAAAAAUCAAACCUAUGACCUAAGGCACAUGAGCAACUGGAACAAAUUUCCCCCAAAUCCAGCAAAAUCAAUAAUAAUAAGGUAAAGAAACCCUAGAAAGCACGAACUCAAUUUGGAGAAGAGGCCUUCAUUAGAAGCAAAAGAAAACAUUAGGUGAUAUUGAAUAGAUACAUACCUGGACUUUGAAGAUACCUCACCCUCAGGUCAUUGAUUUGUGAUGGUCCACGCGCCAUUAGUAAAGCCAGCUCCGCCGUAGCACUGUUGUGGCGUCGUCUGUAGUUAACAGAACAGGGUGGCCGGUGGGUAGGCCAUGGCCAACCUCCUUUACUUUCUCAUCUCUGAUAUCCUCCCUCUUUCUAAAAUUCUCUCUCCAUGUGAUGUGUGCAGGUAUGAAGCUAAGGAAGAAA
rnacentral:lncRNA from 1 species